rnacentral:rRNA from 1 species
AGAGUUUGAUCCUGGCUCAGAUUGAACGCUGGCGGCAUGCCUUACACAUGCAAGUCGAACGGCAGCACGGGAGCAAUCCUGGUGGCGAGUGGCGAACGGGGGAGNNNNNNNNNNNNNNNNNNNNNNNNNNNNNNNNNNNNNNNNNNNNNNNNNNNNNCCGCAUACGAUCUCUGGAUGAAAGCGGGGGACUCAGCAAUGGGCCUCGCGCGAUUGGAGCGGCCGAUAUCAGAUUAGCUAGUUGGUGGGGUAAAGGCUCACCAAGGCGACGAUCUGUAGCUGGUCUGAGAGGACGACCAGCCACACUGGAACUGAGACACGGUCCAGACUCCUACGGGAGGCAGCAGUGGGGAAUUUUGGACAAUGGGCGCAAGCCUGAUCCAGCCAUUCCGCGUGAGUGAAGAAGGCCUUCGGGUUGUAAAGCUCUUUCGCAAGGGAAGAAAACUUAUCCUCUAACAUAGGGUGAGGUUGACGGUACCUUGAUAAGAAGCACCGGCUAACUACGUGCCAGCAGCCGCGGUAAUACGUAGGGUGCGAGCGUUAUCCGGAAUUACUGGGCGUAAAGGGUGCGUAGGCGGCUUUUUAAGUCAGUUGUGAAAUCCCCGAGCUCAACUUGGGAACUGCGUUUGAAACUACAAGACUAGAAUAUGUCAGAGGGGGGUAGAAUUCCACGCGUAGCAGUGAAAUGCGUAGAGAUGUGGAGGAAUACCAAUGGCGAAGGCAGCCCCCUGGGAUAAAACUGACGCUCAUGCACGAAAGCGUGGGGAGCAAACAGGAUUAGAUACCCUGGUAGUCCACGCCCUAAACGAUGUCAACUGGUUGUUGGGUCUUCACUGACUCAGUAACGAAGCUAACGCGUGAAGUUGACCGCCUGGGGAGUACGGCCGCAAGGUUAAAACUCAAAGGAAUUGACGGGGACCCGCACAAGCGGUGGAUGAUGUGGUUUAAUUCGAUGCAACGCGAAAAACCUUACCCACCUUUGACAUGUACGGAAGAUCGCAGAGACGCGAUUGUGCUCGAAAGAGAACCGUAACACAGGUGCUGCAUGGCUGUCGUCAGCUCGUGUCGUGAGAUGUUGGGUUAAGUCCCGCAACGAGCGCAACCCUUGCCAUUAGUUGCUACAUUCAGUUGGGCACUCUAAUGGGACUGCCGGUGACAAACCGGAGGAAGGUGGGGAUGACGUCAAGUCCUCAUGGCCCUUAUAGGUGGGGCUACACACGUCAUACAAUGGCUGGUACAAAGGGUUGCCAACCCGCGAGGGGGAGCUAAUCCCAUAAAGCCAGUCGUAGUCCGGAUCGUAGUCUGCAACUCGACUACGUGAAGUCGGAAUCGCUAGUAAUCGUGGAUCAGAAUGUCACGGUGAAUACGUUCCCGGGUCUUGUACACACCGCCCGUCACACCAUGGGAGCGGGUUCUGCCAGAAGUAGUUAGCCUAACCGCAAGGAGGGCGAUUACCACGGCAGGGUUCGUGACUGGGGUGAAGUCGUAACAAGGUAACCA